UUUGGCCUCCCACCAAAACACGUUCCCUAAUUUUAGAGAGCUCUUCAGCUUCCUCAACCAAAACCCUUCUCUCUCCAAAUCACCUCUCACAAAUUGCAAAAUAAUUCUGUCUGCCUCUCCAAGAAUUUGACCGUCUCUUCUCUCAAUAUCACUGGCAAAUUCAUCCAUUUGUCCCUUCUUCCACGUAGAUGCAUAUUCCUGACGAGAUUUUCACCUACAUCUUCCCCUCGUUUUCACGCCUUUCUUCUUUUCCUCUCUUUGUUUCCACGAUUAAAAUUUUAAGGCAAGUUAGCAGCAUCAUUGUAAUUAUAGCCUUUUUUUUUAUUGUGUUUGAUUUUAUUUUUUAUUUUUGGAUAAUAUUCUGAGUGAAGAGUUUUUGAGGUUAUCUAUGUUCUGAUUUCCAAAUAUUUUUUUGAUUCUUAAAGAUUUGUUGGUGUUUCUAAUUUUUAGCUUCUUAGAACAAUAUAGAAUUGUGGAUUGGAUUUCAUCUUUUUGAGUACGUUGCAAACCCACCCAAUUUGAUCACAUUAUUCUGAACCUAUUGGAUGAUUAAAAUCUAAGGUUGGAUUUAUUCUCGUGAUUAUGCGUGCUUGUGUAAAAGAAAUAUCGAAUCUCUCUUGCCUAUACUAAGAAGUGUGAACAAAAAAAGAUAAGGAUAUCAAAGUAUGCCAGCCUGCUAGGGAAAUAGAAAUAGAUGCUUACGUUCACAAAACUUGGCGAUUUGAUUUGUGUAAAUUAUGCUUAUUAUUUUGAAGGCAUCGGUUAACACAAUGAAAUAUUUGGUUUUUGCACAUUUGUAAUGCUUUAGUGUUCUGCAGCUAAGAUUAUUUGUCAAUACAAUGGCUGGUCAUGUGUUUAGGGUUCAUUUGGCGUGGUUUUUGAAAAGUAAAAAAGUUGCCUUUAAGAUUAAGAAAAUGCUUUUGGACUUGUUUAAUAUCAUUCUGGGAGUGGCUUAAGGUGCAAUCCUACCUGAAACAGCAGCUGUCCCAACCAGGCCAUUGAUAUAAUUUAUUUGCCUUAACUUUACCCAAAUUUUAUCCAUGUCUUUUGCCCUUUUCUCAAGGGAGUUUUCAUAUUUCUUGAAAUCCGACCACAUAUCAACAGAGGUAUAUGCCAAUUGAUUGUGAAAUAUGUACCUAUUCUUGUUGAGAAUUCUUUUUUCCCUGAUUUUCGAUCUCAUUUUUACCACUAUGUUUUUUCUCCUUUGUUUUCCGGAUUUCCUUCAAUAUUUGCCGUAGAUUUACAGAUAUUCAAAUUGUUAUUAUUGCUUUUGUAAAUUUACUUUUAUUGUUUGGUCUAUACGGAGAAAGGGUGGUCAAAAACUCAUUGCAAACAUUCCAUCGAUUGAAUCCUAAACAACAAUUGUCUAGGGCUUUGUACAGGUUGAUUCUCUUCGGGUAUAUAUAUAUUAUUCUCCUAUGAGUUGUUUUUCCUUUUCAUGAUUGGUUUUGCUUCAACUGAUUAUCUGAUUUUUUGGGCAUUUUAUUUGAAAAUAUGAAGCAUUGGUCUACAUAUUGUCUUGAAAUUAGGUUAUUUUCUUAGAUAUUGAAUUUCGAAACUUUUGUUAAUAAUUUACUACGUAAUUUCACUCUCAAAAAAAGUAACACUGGAAGGGAAUAUUUUGAAAGAAACAUUCAUAUUAUUUAUCUAUUUUCAAAUUUGAAGUGGACAAAUUAGCUAUUUGUUGCUAUCACAAUUUUUACUUUGUCAUGUUAUUUAUAGAUACAGUAGUUUUUAUUAGUAUAUUUGUUCAUGUAAAGACGUACAUACUGAAAUCUACUACUAUCUAAUUGACUAGUUAUGUUUUACUACUUAAACUAUGCUUGGCAAAGCUUAUUCUUUUAUUUUAGUUUUGCAAUACUUCAAUAUCAUUUCUAAUUAUUUACUUUUUAGUUAUUAGCAGUAUGUCAUCGGAUCGAAGUUGGAUGCGGCGACGAGUGGAUAAGGGGUUUCUUACAAAUGAAUUUAUUAUGAGAGUCGAAGAGUUUAUUGAAUUUGAGUAUUCACAAUUAGGGGUAUUUGAUAAUAUUAGAUGCCCUUGUUGUAAAUGUGGCAAUAAAGAAUUCCAUAUGCGAGAUGAUGUAAAACUUCACUCAUACAACAAAGGGUUUACCCAUGAUUAUACUCAAUGGUAUGCACAUGGUCAACAAUACAUUAGUCCAUUUAAUUUAGGUGAAUCCUAAAAUGCACAAGAACAAAGCGAAUGUAGAAAUCAAGCAAUGGUGAUGGAUGCUAUGGGCCCUAAUAUCUGCAAUACCAUUUUCAAUCAGCAACAUUCUUUUCCAGAAGAACAUGAGCCAAAUCCAAGAGCUGCAAAUUUCUUUAGACUACUUCGAGAAGCCAAUAAACCUAUAUGGCCCAGUUGUACAAAAUACACUAAACUUUCAGCGAUGUCACGGCUUUUGAAUUGUAAGUCUGAAUUUAAUAUCUCUGUAACAUGUUAUGAUCAUAUAUUGUCCAUAAUUACAGACAUGUUGCCAGAAGGUGCACAGUUAGAGGAUACAUUUUACAAAACAAAGAAAAUGUUAAGCAGUCUUGGUUAUAUAAAGAUAC
rnacentral:lncRNA from 1 species